GAUUGCAGGCUGCAACUCGCCUGCAUGAAGUUGGAAUUGCUAGUAAUCGCGAAUCAGAAUGUCGCGGUGAAUACGUUCCCGGGCCUUGUACACACCGCCCGUCACACCAUGAGAGUCGAUAACACCCGAAGCCUGUGAGCUAACCGCAAGGAGGUAGCAGUCGAAGGUGGGGUUGAUGAUUGGGGUGAAGUCGUAACAAGGUAUC
rnacentral:rRNA from 1 species